rnacentral:rRNA from 1 species
GAUGAACGCUGGCGGCGUGCCUAAUACAUGCAAGUCGAGCGAACGGACGAGAAGCUUGCUUCUCUGAUGUUAGCGGCGGACGGGUGAGUAACACGUGGAUAACCUACCUAUAAGACUGGGAUAACUUCGGGAAACCGUAGCUAAUACCGGAUAAUAUUUUGAACCGCAUGGUUCAAAAGUGAAAGACGGUCUUGCUGUCACUUAUAGAUGGAUCCGCGCUGCAUUAGCUAGUUGGUAAGGUAACGGCUUACCAAGGCAACGAUGCAUAGCCGACCUGAGAGGGUGAUCGGCCACACGGGAACUGAGACACGGUCCAGACUCCUACGGGAGGCAGCAGUAGGGUAUCUUCCGCAAUGGGCGAAAGCCUGACGGAGCAACGCCGCGUGAGUGAUGAAGGUCUUCGGAUCGUAAAACUCUGUUAUUAGGGAAGAACAUAUGUGUAAGUAACUGUGCACAUCUUGACGGUACCUAAUCAGAAAGCCACGGCUAACUACGUG